GACGAACGCUGGCGGCGUGCUUAACACAUGCAAGUCGAACGGGCUGCCUGGUUUUCGGAUCGGGUGGUGAGUGGCGAACGGGUGAGUAACACGUGAGUAACCUGCCCCUCUCUUUGGGAUAACGUCGGGAAAUCGGCGCUAAUACCGGGUAUUCUGGCUUCCUCGCAUGGGGUUGUUGGGAAAGGUUUUUUCUGGUGGGGGAUGGGCUCGCGGCCUAUCAGCUUGUUGGUGGGGUGAUGGCCUACCAAGGCGGUGACGGGUAGCCGGCCUGAGAGGGUGUCCGGCCACACUGGGACUGAGACACGGCCCAGACUCCUACGGGAGGCAGCAGUGGGGAAUAUGGCACAAUGGGCGGAAGCCUGAUGCAGCGACGCCGCGUGGGGGAUGACGGCCUUCGGGUUGUAAACCUCUUUCAGUGCAGAACAAGGCUCUUUGUGGGUUGAGGGUAUGCGCAGAAGAAGCGCCGGCUAACUACGUG
rnacentral:rRNA from 1 species